rnacentral:lncRNA from 1 species
CUCAAGCCUGUAAUCCCAGCACUUUGGGAGACCAAGGCAGGUGGAUCACUUGAGGUCAGGAGUUCAAGACCAGCCUGGCCAACAUGGUGAAACCCUGGCUCUACUAAAAAUUAGCCAGGCGUGGUGGCACGUGCCUGUAAUCCCAGCUACUUGGGAGGCUGAGGCAGGAGAAUCGCUUGAACCUGGGGAGGGGGAGGCUGCAGUGAGCUGAGACCACCCCACUGCACUCCAGCCUGGGUGACAGAGUGAGACUCCAUCUCAAAAAAAAGUAAAAAAUAAAAUAAAAUAAAAUUGCUGUUCCUGUAGGUCGAAAUUUUUC